GCAUUAGUAGCUCAGAGUUAGAGCGCCGGCCUUGUAAGUCGGAUGCGAAGGUUAAAGUCCUUCCUUUUGCU
rnacentral:tRNA from 1 species